rnacentral:lncRNA from 1 species
GAGAAAUUCCAGCUGAGCACAUGCUCUCACGUCACUGGCAAAGAAUUUAGUGUGGGCCUGACUUCUGCCCUACAAAUAAACAUGAGAGAGAUGUGCUCAAGCCCAUCAGCGAGAUGCCUGUGAAACACCUCUGUGGUCAGCACUCUUCAGAGUGCUCUCCGAAAAGAAGCCAGCUCAAAAGAAAUAACUUAAUUGAUCUGUAUAGUCUAGACACUUCUGAAACAAAGACAAGCUUUAUGAAGGAAUGGUUGGUUAGACUGUUUGGAUAAAUACUGAGUAUCUUUGAUAUUCCUGGAAUUUAAUUUACCUUGUUCUGAGCAAGGAGAGCCACAAACUGAAGUUAUUUGUUUGCAGAAACACCAUUUUCUUUGAAUCUCAGAGGCAGAUGUGCAGAUGGGAGAGAAGCCGUGGUGCUGUGAGCAGAGUCCCAAGUUUUUAUCAGUGUUUUUGCAGAGUGGAACUGGAAGUUGCUGACACACUCCAGGCAAUAACAUGGAGCACAGGGAAAAGUGCCUGCAUCAGUGGCACAGGGAGAGCAGGUUGUGGCACAUGAGGAAUGUGAACAGGAGUACGUUGCCAGGGCAACAGAGUGUAAGCAGGAGCACAGCACCUUGCAGAUCACAAAGGCAAAGCUGCAGAAAGAAAUUUCAGCGAGUUUCUCUCUCCCUUUUGCAAUGUAAUGACGACUUAUUUUUCAUGCACUGAUUUAAUAAUCUUAUUGAAAGAUCCUUUCCCUGUUUCUCUUAUUCUUGUCUGUCUGGGCGCGGACAAUGGUAAAAACCUGGAAUUGUCAAGCCCACUGGGCUCAGCAAACUAACAGAUGUAAUAUGUUUAGCAUUUUUAUGUAAUUACUUUUUAUUGCUAUUUUACCCCUACUUCUAUUCCUCCCCGGUUAGAUGCUGCUUCCCUUCCGUUCCAGCCCAAUCAGGGGACGGAGAGGGGCUGGGGGAGAGUUGGUAAUUGACGGCAUUAAUCGGGAAUUAUUAGUGGGACGUGUUUUCAGGGGUGGGGGUUGGGUGCAGAAAGAGACCUUUUAGGAAGGGUGAAUUGAAUUAUGGGCGAUGCAAUAAUGAAGCCUCUGGGCUGUGAGCUGCAGAGGACACUCAUCCUCACAGAGCUCUGAGUGUUAUUUAUCAUGGGUUCUGCUCUGUGGGUGAAAAACAGUGCGUUGCCCUACUGACAUCCUCUGGGUGGGGGAGGUCUCAACUAGCUGGGCUGAAAAUGAAAAAAAAGCUGAUUUGGGAUG